rnacentral:rRNA from 1 species
UACAGAGGUCUCGAGCGUUGUUCGGAUUCAUUGGGCGUAAAGGGUGCGUAGGUGGCGCUGUAAGUCAGGUGUGAAAUUUCGGAGCUUAACUCCGAAACUGCAUUUGAUACUGCGGUGCUUGAGGACUGGAGAGGAGACUGGAAUUUACGGUGUAGCAGUGAAAUGCGUAGAGAUCGUAAGGAAGACCAGUGGCGAAGGCGGGUCUCUGGACAGUUCCUGACACUGAGGCACGAAGGCCAGGGGAGCAAAACGGG